GGGUAGAUGUCCGAGUGGUUAAAGGAGACAGACUGUAAAUCUGUUCACGCAAGUGUACGCUGGUUCGAAUCCAGCUCUGCCCACCA
rnacentral:tRNA from 1 species